CCCAGCUUGGUGUAGUGGCAGCACAUCUGUAGUCACCAGGGAAGCCUAUUGCGCGGAACUGGCCCUUAGGGGGGAGAAGAGCCGGGUUCGAAUCCUGGAGUUGGGA
rnacentral:tRNA from 1 species